UAUAUACCACAUCUUAUUUAUUCAUUCAUCAGUCAAUGGACAGUUGGACUCUUUCCAUGGUUUGGCUAUUGUUGAUAAUGCUGCUAUAAACAUCAUGGUGCAUGUGUCCCUUCAAAUCAGUAUUUUUGUAUUCUUUGGAUAAAUACCUAGUAGUGCAAUUGCCAGGUCAUAGGGUAGUUCUAUUUUCAACUUUUUGAGGAACCUCUGUACUGUUUUCCAGAGUGGCUAUACCAGUUUGCAUUCCUACCAACAGUUUAAGAGGGCUCCCCUUUCUCUGCAUCCUUGCCAACAGCUGUUGUUUCCUGUGUUGUUAAUGUUAGCCAUUCUGACAGGUGUGAGGUGGUAUCUCAUCAUGGUUUUGAUUUGUAUUUCCUUGAAGAUGAGUGAUAUUGAGCAUUUUUCAUGUGCCUGUUAGCCAUCUGUAGGUCUUCUUUGGAAAAAUGUCUGUUUGUGUCUUCUGCCCAUUUCUUAACUGGAUUAUUUGCUUUUUGGGUGUUCACUGCCUUUCUUAGUCUUUCUCUUGGGGGAGUUAUUAUUAGUUAUUUUGAUCUCUGUCAUGCUCAUCCCCCCAAACUAGUGGUUUUACAGUUACUUCCUCUUGGUCUUCAUAGCCCCCAGCUUAGAACCAGAUUUCCUAGUGUCCGGUCGGGUGUCAAUGCUGUCAUAAUGUGGGAGUGCUGCUGAUCCUGUCACUGGGCCAGGGAACCAGUUCUUCUUCAUGUGGGGCUAAGAAGUUUGGUGUAAGUCUCAGCUCUGGAAGCAGUUAUGCAUUUUAUGCCCCUGGUUCUUGGGUGUGGGAUCCCCAUACGGUCCCUGGUUUGGGGACACCUCCUCAUGUGGUAUUCCCCAUCUCACCAUAACAGAAAAGCUCCUCACCACCUCUGCCUGCUUCUUGUCCUGGAGACUCAUGAUCCCACAGCAUCAUCCAGCUUACAGUGCCAUGGACCUGCUGUUCUGAUCUUUGGAGAUGUGCAUCUUUUUGACCUCGCUUUCCGGUCUCUCCUUGGCUUGUAAAGGCAGAACUACAUUAGGACGUCAGACACCUGCAGCGUUGUACUUUCAGGUGCAGUACAGGGGACGUACAAGCCUGCGCCCACUGCGGAAGUUCUCCAAAGGACGAUGCUGACCUUACCAGCGUGUGGCAAAACAAGUACAUGAGGCGGCUCUGGGGGCCUGGGAUGCAGCAGUGAAAACACAACACAAGGUUCCUGCCCUUGUGGUGUUCAUAGUCCAGUGGAGGAAGACCGGCAGACAAGAGGCAAGUACCUGUAUAUCAGAGGUUGGUAAGUGCUGGGGAGACAAUUAGCAAGGCGAGGGCGAGGGAAGUGCUGGGGAGGGGAUAAGGUGGUCAGGGAAGGCCUGAGAAGAUUCGGUUUGAGCCACAGAGAUCUCUGAAGGAAGUAGAACAUUCCAGGCAGGAAGAAUAUCAGGACACAGGCUUGGGGCAGGACACUUGCCGGACACUUUCCAGGACAGCAAGGAGCCCAGUGAGGCUGGCGUGGGCUGAGUGGUGGGGCAGUGAUAGGAGGUGAGUGUGUGCGGAGGCAGAGGGUGGAUGGCGUGGGGCCUCAUGGACUUUAGGCCACUUGCCAAGGGAGCCCUGGGAGGGUUUUGAGAGGAGGAGUGAACUGGUCUGAGUGUUAAAAGGAUCUCUCUAGGAGACCCGAGAUACCCCCUUUAUCUGUUUGGCAGCUGCACCUGCUAAACUGUAGUCCCUCAGCUAAAUCAGGGGAAAGACAAAGAAACCAGUCUUUGUGGUUCCAUCCUUGGUCCUCUUACCACACUUCUCAUUAGUGGAACCACCUGUCUGUGCAUGGCAUAUGCAUGGUCCUCUCCCCUCUUCUUUUGCAGGGCGGUUCCCUGCCCACCUCCUACCUCAUCAGGCAUUUACACUUUAGUGAGAUCAAGGAUGUGUAUCUCAUUACUGUCUCCAAGGUUAUGAGUUGAAUUGUGGCACCCAAAAGAUAUAUUGAAGGCCUAAUUUUCCAGUACCUCAGAAUGUGACCUUAUUUGGAAAUAAAGUCAUUGCAGAUGUAAUUUAGUUCAGAUAAGGUCAUACUAGAGUAGGGAGCACUCUUGGUGCAAUAUGAUUGGUGUCCUUGUAAGAGAGGGACGCCGAGGAUUGCUGGAAACCCCUCACAGCUAGGAAGAGGCAAGGGAAGAUCCUCCCCUAGAGAACUCAGAGGGAGUAUGACCCUGCCAGCACCCUGAUUUCAGACGUCCGGCCUCCGGAACUGUGAGAGAACAAAUUUCUGUUGCUUUAAGCCACCCAGGUUGUGGCACUUAGUUAUGGCAACCUGAGGAAGCCAAUGCCAGGGAUAUUAUCUCUUUUAGAGACUUUCUUCUAAUUGCGAUGCUCUGUUUUGGGGGCAUCCUGGAGCUGCAUGAGAAUUCAGAAGGGCCUAUUUCUCUCCAUGGCCGGGGUCUGUUCACAGGUCAGGGACACAGAGUGAUCAAAACAGAGUGCCCUUCAAACAAACACUUGCGUGCAAAUAUUCAUUGCAACAUCACUUAAAAUAGUGGAAGUUACAAACGACCCAAAUGUCCGUCAGCUGACCAAUGGCUAAAGAAAACGUGGCAUAUCCAUACAUGGAGUAGUAUCCAGCCAUAAAAGAAACAGAAUAGUGCUUUGAGCUACAACACGCAUGGGCCUCGAAAACAUUAUGGUAAGUGAAAGAAGGCAGACACAAAAAGCCACAUGUGGUAUGAUCCUAUUUAUAUGAAAUGGCCACAGUCCACGGAGACAGAAAGCACAUUAGUGAUUGCCAGGGGCUGUGUGUGGGAGGAACGGACAGUGACUGGUUCAUGGGUCCGGAGUUUCCUUUCGAGGUGAUGAGAAUGUUCUGAAACUCGGUGGUGGUGAUGGUUGUACAAUCUUGUAAAAGUAUGAAAUGUCAUGGAAUUGUACACCUUAAAUGGUAGAUUUUAUGUUAUUUUACCACACGUAUACAUGAAACCCAGAGUUCCUGCCCCUGCAUUCAAGUGAGAGGAGACAGAUGAUUAACAAAUAAAUAUAUAUUUAAGAAUGAACAGGCCCAGGAGACUGUAAGGCUUGCUUUGGAUGUCAAGCAAUCUAGUGAGAGCUCUACCAGGGGCAUCUCCUGUCUGGGUGACCAUGCAGCACAAUCUCGACUAAGGUGAUAUAUAACCGGACCAUCCUAAUCUCAAUCCUGUACGGUGCGGUGAGGUCGGGGCAUGGGAGAAGAGGAGGAGGGGGGCCAUGUUUCCUUCAUGAUCUCCUUUUACAUGUGUUCCCUCCAACUGGUCACCACCUGUGUCACCACUUGCACUUUGCAAAAGAGGAAGCUGAUGCAGAAGGCGUGAGAAGUCUGAGGAAGAGACAAAGCUGAGAGGUGAGGAAACUGAGGCCAACAGAGAUGCAGAACUUUCCCAGUGUCACGAGAAUGUAAGUGGCGGAGCCAGGACUGGACGACUGGAGGAAAGGCCCUCAAGUAACCAGCCUCAAAAGCAGGAUGCAGCUAAUUGAAUGGGACGGUGAUGAUUCCUUCUUCAGUUGGUCAAACAGCUAAAUCCGCCUUCGAACCUGCGGCCGCGCAGCUCCCGUGACGUCCGUUUCUGCCUGUUUCGGGUUUGGGGGAUGUGCAGCCACACACCUUCCCUGUCUGUGCUCCAAGCCCACUAACAGCCCGUUCACACCACUCCAAGUUCAUUACUGCAGAGAGGUGGGAGCACAUAAGGGGAGUGAACCGGAGACUUAGGACUCAACUGCAACCAGGCACCUGCUGAAAAGUGAAGAAGCAGGACGCCCGGCCGGCUCAAGUCACCUCACGUGAAUAAUUAAGCCCCGAACAAGCUGAGGAAACAGUUUUCUGCAAGCAGGGAUUCUGGGAAAAUGUGAAGACCCGAGCCGAAUUAGCCCUACGUGUUGUUCUAAUGUGUGUUUAACUGUGUGUGGUUUUUGCACGUUUAACGCGUUAAGUGUGUGUGUAAAUAUCUUUGAAAGCCCAAAGUCCCAGGGUCUCCCACAGAGGCCACUGUGAGGACUGCACAGGUUUCCUGCAUUCCUGAGUCUUUGAGGCCCCGCUCCCUGGGGACUCUGCACAGAGAAGGAGGCCAGAGCCUGCAGGUGAGGGCCCCCUGGGUCCCUCUGCCAGAUACCUGGGGGUGAGUUACAGGUGUCCCCAGAGCAGCAGAUCCACACCAAGGGUUACCAAGGCAACACCUGCUCCUCCUGGGACAAGAGAGGAAGGGAGUGCUGACAGAGUAGGAUUGCAUGAGCUGCCUUUCCAGAGGGAUCUGGGCUAAAAAUACCCAUGCAGUUGGCACUUGCUGGGUUUCGGGAGCCUCUGCCUCAUGUCUGGCUCCUGGUGUUCUGACCCUCCAGUGCAGGGUGCAGGACCACGGGGGUGUGGAGGGCAGGCACUUGAGGAAAACCCCUGAUGGCCUUACCGGCUGUGGUGUGGGGGCCUGAGUCAGAGCUGGGGUGAAGAAGAGGAGGGACAUUGUCUUCCUGGCAGACGCAGGGCCUGUCUUGUUUGCCUGCAUCGGAAGUCAAUAGGUUGGUCACUCCUGGGCAGCCCACCUAGGGUAAUCAAAGCGCUGGCAGCUCCUGAGGGUACUGGAGACCGGUACAGAAUGCUCUUGAACUUGCCCGCCCUUUCUGAGAGGUCCCUGCCAGCCUGGGAUUUGCUGACCUGGGGCUUCCCGGCUCCUUGGGUCCCACGCUGCAGGGGCAAGCACUGAAGCAGAGAAAUGAGCUCAGACCCCUGCUCUUCCCAGGCUUCUAGUCUGUGCUUCUGAAGGCAGCCUUCAUGCUGGGCCUAUGUACAUAGACCAGGAGAGCUGAGGUCUGCGCUCAGCUUCAGUGUGUCCUGGGAUUCGGACAUCUGGGAAUCUCUGGGCAUCAAGGACCUCUGAGGCUGGCUAUUGAACAACCUGUGUGCCCUGCAGGUGGGUGAGGUGAGACUUGAGGCCCCCCAGGCAGUGCUCAGAUAGGCGACUAUGCGGCCAUCAGAGAGCCCACCUGGGUCAUGCAGAGUCCCCCCACCCCCACCCGCCUCUAGAGUGAUGCUCCUCAAACUUCAUGUGCCAGAGAAUCACUGUGUGCUUGUUAAAAUGCAGGUUCUGACUCAGCAGGUCUUUGUGGGGUCUGAACUCUGUAUUUCUUUUUCUUUUUUUUAGUUUAUUUAUUUUGAGAGAGAAAGAGCAAACAGGGCGGGGCGGGGGGGGGAGAGAGAGAGAGAGAGAGAGAGAGAGAGAGAGAGAGAAUCCCAAGCAGGCUCCACACUGUCAACACAGCUCAAUAUGGGGCUCGAACCCCACAAACCUGGAGAUCAUGACCUGAGCCGAGAUCAAGAGUCCCACGCCUGACUGACUGAGCCCCCAGGGUGCCCCUGAGAUUCUGUAUUUCUAAUAACAUCCUGGGUGGUACCCAUUUUGCAUUUCUGAACAUGAGGAAGGCUUAAGGGCAGUGGUUUUUAAACAGGGGAGCAAAUUUGUGGAGGCGUUUUAAAACUUCAGAUUCCUGGGCCCCGUCUGUGACUUCCUGAACUGGUCAUCACAUGGCAAGAUGUCCGAAAAGCUAACCGGUGACUUGAUGCAGGACUUUUGAUUUGCAACCACUGCCCUAGAGCCUUUAGUGGAUGGCUACACAUGGGAGAAUGCCUCCUCAAAACAAUGUGGUCCAAACAUUUCUCUAUUUUUAGUAAGAUUUGCCCUUUGCAAGCCUGGCCUACCAUUACUCACUCCUCAACAAAUAUUUAUUAAGUCUCUUCUGUGUUACCAUAAAGGUUUAUUCUUUCUUUUCUUGCUGGACAGAUAGAUGGCAGAUGACAGACUCUGUUUCAUGCCUCCAAGGCUGCAGAGCUGAAUCAGAGAAACCUCCAGUGGCUUAAGGUUCACUAGGUCCUUACCCAUCCCUUUCCCUCUCUGUGGCUGAGACUUCUCUGCGUGAGCCUGUGCAGCUCCUUCCUGGGAACCUCGCCUGGCAGGGAGGUUGGUCUGGUCUUAUCUGGCCCACACUAUUCAAAAAAGCAAAAAACAAGUAUAAAGCAAACAAACCCACUUGGCUUGACAUUUGAAAAUCCGAGGUUUCAUAUAAAAGUAGGGAUUUUUCCCUUAUCUAGAAAAAUCGGCAUAUUUGGCCACAUCACCGCCUCCUGGCAACAAUUGUUGCAGCUGGGCAACAAUUGGCUGCCCCUUUUGUAGGCUGUGCUCUGCAGUUGGGUCCGCUUUGGGGCUCCCUCCUGACAACAGCCCUCCUCACUCCAUUGCUUUAUGUAUUUGGUCUUCUAGGCACAUCUAUUAAUUUUUCAGGGCUGCCGUAACAAAUUACCACAAACUGAGCGGCUUCUAAGUACAGAAAUGCAUCCUUUUGUAGUUCUGGAGACCAGAAGUGUGAACUCAAGGUGCGGGCAGAGCCACGUUCCCUCAGAAGGCUCUAGGAGAAUCUUCCUCGCCUUUUCCUUGCUUCUGGUGGUUGCUGGCAGUCCUUGGCACUCCUUGACUUAUAGAUGCGUUACUCCCACCUCUGCCUCUGUUGUCACGUGGCCUUCUCUCCGUGUGUCCAUGUGU